GCUUGCUUGGUGGUGAGAGUGGCGAACGGGCGAGUAAUGCGUGACCGACCUGCCCCAUACACCGGAAUAGCUCCUGGAAACGGGUGGUAAUGCCGGAUGCUCCGACUCCUCGCAUGGGGUGUCGGGAAAGAUUAUAUCGGUAUGGGAUGGGGUCGCGUCCUAUCAGGUAGUCGGCGGGGUAACGGCCCACCGAGCCUACGACGGGUAGCCGGCCUGAGAGGGCGACCGGCCACAUUGGGACUGAGAUACGGCCCAGACUCCUACGGGAGGCAGCAGUGGGGAAUAUUGCACAAUGGGCGCAAGCCUGAUGCAGCGACGCCGCGUGCGGGAUGACGGCCUUCGGGUUGUAAACCGCUUUUGAUCGGGAGCAAGCCUUCGGGUGAGUGUACCUUUCGAAUAAGCACCGGCUAACUACGUGCCAGCAGCCGCGGUAAUACGUAGGGUGCAAGCGUUAUCCGGAAUUAUUGGGCGUAAAGGGCUCGUAGGCGGUUCGUCGCGUCCGGUGUGAAAGUCCAUCGCUUAACGGUGGAUCUGCGCCGGGUACGGGCGGGCUGGAGUGCGGUAGGGGAGACUGGAAUUCCCGGUGUAACGGUGGAAUGUGUAGAUAUCGGGAAGAACACCAAUGGCGAAGGCAGGUCUCUGGGCCGUUACUGACGCUGAGGAGCGAAAGCGUGGGGAGCGAACAGGAUUAGAUACCCUGGUAGUCCACGCCGUAAACGGUGGAUGCUGGAUGUGGGGCCCGUUCCACGGGUUCCGUGUCGGAGCUAACGCGUUAAGCAUCCCGCCUGGGGAGUACGGCCGCAAGGCUAAAACUCAAAGAAAUUGACGGGGGCCCGCACAAGCGGCGGAGCAUGCGGAUUAAUUCGAUGCAACGCGAAGAACCUUACCUGGGCUUGACAUGUUCCCGACAGCCGUAGAGAUAUGGCCUCCCUUCGGGGCGGGUUCACAGGUGGUGCAUGGUCGUCGUCAGCUCGUGUCGUGAGAUGUUGGGUUAAGUCCCGCAACGAGCGCAACCCUCGCCCUGUGUUGCCAGCACGUCAUGGUGGGAACUCACGGGGGACCGCCGGGGUCAACUCGGAGGAAGGUGGGGAUGACGUCAGAUCAUCAUGCCCCUUACGUCCAGGGCUUCACGCAUGCUACAAUGGCCGGUACAACGGGAUGCGACACGGCGACGUGGAGCGGAUCCCUGAAAACCGGUCUCAGUUCGGAUUGGAGUCUGCAACCCGACUCCAUGAAGGCGGAGUCGCUAGUAAUCGCGGAUCAGCAACGCCGCGGUGAAUGCGUUCCCGGGCCUUGUACACACCGCCCGUCAAGUCAUGAAAGUGGGUAGCACCCGAAGCCGGUGGCCUAACCCUUCGUGG
rnacentral:rRNA from 1 species